UCCCUGGUGGUCUAGUGGUUAGGAUA
rnacentral:piRNA from 9 species